ensembl:lncRNA novel transcript
GGAGAAGAAGGAGAAUGGUAUGGUUUGGCUUUGUGUCUCCACCCAUAUCUCGCCUGCAAUUGUUGUCUUCAUAAAUCCCCACGUGUCAAGGGUGGGACCAGGUGGAGUGAGGAAGAUGCCUGCUUCUCCUCUGCCUUCUGCCAAGAUGGCAAGUUUCCUGAGGCCUCCCCAGCAAGAUGGAUCUGCACUUCAUCACCAAAGCAACAAGAUGUGGAGCAUGAGCAGUUCAACCUUUGAAGAUAACUCAGACUAAUUUGGCCAGCCUCUCCGUCUGAGGGUCUGAGAUCAUAAGAAGGUUUUAUAUUGGGCUGUGCACUUCAACCUACAGGCCAGUAGAUGAAGCUUGUGAGUAAGAGCUAGCUGUGACACUAGCAGAUGGGUUUGGAUAAAUGGUACCAAAGCAAUCCUUUGGGCAAGCAAAAUGAACUUCUCAAUUGUUACAUAUUAUUCAUUAGACUGUUUCUAUUUAAAUAAAAUAUCGCUUGAAAGCAA